rnacentral:rRNA from 1 species
AUUGAACGCUGGCGGCAGGCUUAACACAUGCAAGUCGAACGAGUGGCGGACGGGUGAGUAAUGUUUGGGAAUCUGCCUUAUGGAGGGGGAUAACGACGGGAAACUGUAGCUAAUACCGCAUACCAUCGGAUGUGCCCAAUUGGGAUUAGGUAGUGGGUGGGGUAACGGCCUACCAAGCCGACGAUCGCUAGCUGGUCUGAGAGGAUGACCAGCCACACCGGGACUGAGAUACGGUCCUGACUCCUACGGCAGGCAGCAGUGGGGAAUAUUGCGCAAUGGGGGCAACCCUGAUGCAGCCAUGCCGCGUGAAUGAAGAAGGCCUUCGGGUUGUAAAGUUCUUUCAGUGAGGAGGCGUUAAUCGCAGAAGAAGCACCGGCUAACUCCGUGCCAGCAGCCGCGGUAAUAC